rnacentral:rRNA from 1 species
ACACGACUACAUUAGAUACCCCCGUAGUCCCAGCCCUAAACGAUGCGUGUUAGGUGUAUCGGUGACCACGAGUCACCGAGGUGCCGAAGGGAAACCGUGAAACGUGCCGCCUGGGAAGUACGGUCGCAAGGCUGAAACUUAAAGGAAUUGGCGGGGGAGCACAACAACGGGUGGAGCUUGCGGUUUAAUUGGAUUCAACGCCGGAAAUCUUACCGGGACCGACAGCAACAUGAAGGCCAAGCUGAAGACUUUGCCGGAUUAGCUG